rnacentral:lncRNA from 1 species
CGGGGGCUGGGAGGGCGAGGGCUUGGUGGAGAAGGGCUGGGUGGCAGCGGACUGGGGGGCCUGGGCGAUGGUGGCAACGGUGACGGCGGGCGCGGGCUGGGUGGCAGUGGGCUUGGAGGAGAGGGGCUUGGAGGAAGCGGAGAUGGAGGCAGCGGGCUGGGAGGCGCGGGGCUGGGAGGAAGCGGAGAUGGAGGCAGCGGGCUGGGAGGCUUGGGCGACGGUGGCAGCGGGCUGGGUGGCAACGGCGACGGAGGGCGAGGGCUGGGUGGCAGUGGGCUAGGAGGCGAGGGGCUCGGAGGCUUGGGCGACGGUGGCAGCGGGCUGGGGGGUAAGGGGCUAGGUGGCAGCGGGCUGGGUGGCAGCGGUGAUGGAGGCCUAGGGCUGGGCGGCAGUGGGCUAGGAGGCGAGGGACUGUGCGGCAGUGGGCAAGGAGGCGAGGGACUGGGCGGCAGUGGGCUAGGAGGCGAGGGACUGGGAGGAAGCGGAGAUGGAGGCAGCGGGCUGGGAGGCUUGGGCGAAGGUGGCAGCGGGCUGGGUGGCAGCGGGCUGGGUGGCAGCGGGCUGGGUGGCAGCGGGCUGGN